rnacentral:sRNA from 1 species
AAGAACGGGUUCUCUGGAAAUGGUUGCCGCUACAACAUAUCAUAUAGUUUGAGAAUAUCGAAGCCACCAGAAAACAUUUAGGUACUGAUGGGAUUGACGAUAUUUAGUCUCUUAGACCAACUCCAGUAGUUUCUUAGUAAAAACUCAUACAAUUAAAAAA